CGAAUGGGUCGGGGCGGCAUCAAGUUUUGAACCUGGUCAGGUCCGGAAGGAAGCAGCCAUAAAGAACCGCUGAUGAGCGCCCUUACCCAUUCGGGA
rnacentral:SRP_RNA from 1 species